CUGAAUUUAACAGCCGAGGUUGUAGCUGGCCGCACCACGGCAUGUGCACACCUUGGUUAUCCAAAUUCUUACACCCCUGUGCACUUUUCAUGGGAUAGUUGAGGCAGUUGGGACACUCUGCGUGUUCUUUCAGCUUUAUCUGUCUUGUGCUUAAUACAUUAAACACCUCAGUAUAGAAUGUAUCUCUGCGUUAAACGCAAUCUUAA
rnacentral:misc_RNA from 1 species